GGAGGAAAGGAACCAGGGAAAGGAUUGACAGCUGCAGUUCCUCUCUAGAUCUGCUCCUGGAAUGAUGCUGUUAUGUGCUACCCCUUAGUCAUGGCUAGAGGGGGAGAGUUUUAAAAGGAACGGUGCGGUGGGGUGUUUCCUUCUGACAGAGCCUUGCAAAGGAUCAAGGAAAACAGCAAGAAAAGAAAGAAGAGAUUUAAAGUCUUGGUGCGAGAGAGAGAGAGAGAGAGAGAGAGAGAGAGAACACAAUCUGGCCAUCCCAGUCCCUGGCUCCAACCCACCCUGCUGU